UACGUAGGGUGCAAGCGUUGUCCGGAAUUAUUGGGCGUAAAGAGCUCGUAGGCGGUUUGUCGCGUCUGCUGUGAAAACUCGGGGCUUAACUCCGGGCCUGCAGUGGGUACGGGCAGACUAGAGUUCGGUAGGGGAGUGUGGAAUUCCUGGUGGAGCGGUGAAAUGCGCAGAUAUCAGGAGGAACACCCGUAGCGAAGGCGGCACUCUGGGCCGGAACUGACGCUGAGGAGCGAAAGCGUGGGGAGCGAACAGG
rnacentral:rRNA from 1 species